GCCAGGCAUAGUAAUGCAUGCCUGUAAUGCCAGCGACUUGGAGGCUGAGGCAGGAGGAUUGCAAGUUCCAGGCCAGCCUCAGCAAUUUCAUCAGGCCCUAAGCAAUUUAGAAAGACCCUGUCUUGA
rnacentral:sRNA from 1 species